rnacentral:misc_RNA from 1 species
GUGAAUCAUCAAAUUUUUGAACGCAAAUUGCGCUUUCUGGCAUUCCGGAGAGUAUGCCUGUUUGAGGGUCAGUUUUAAUAAAAAUUGGGGUGUUGCUGUUUUGUGACCCAUCGGAAUUGGGUUAUUUUUGAACUUUUAAAAAGUUUAGGUGACCUAAAAUUGAUACGUUGUGCAUCUAAGACGUACAUUAGAAUAUUUUUUUAUCCGCCCGGAGUUGCUAA